rnacentral:lncRNA from 1 species
GGGAAAUUUAAAAAAAAUGUGGAAGAGAUAAUGGUGAACCAUUUCUGCAUUGCUGCUCUGCAUCUCUGGUGUGAUCCAUGUGUAAUGUUUGUAUCUCUUCCAAUACAAGAGGCUUGAAGUGCAGAUGACAGCAGCUAGCUGACCUUAGCAGAGCUUGAAAAAAUAUGUAGGAAGGUUGAUAAACAUUAUUUAAGACAUUUACAAC